rnacentral:lncRNA from 1 species
GUUGAAAUAAAAAAAAUACUUAUGGAUAGAGGGGCAGGAUUUAGUCUCAUUCAUCUUUUCAUUAUUGUUCUUAUCACCUUUUGAUUAUUGUUCUUACGCUUUCUUCAACAAUUCGAACGGUUGUUGCAUCAUGAGCAUCUUACCUAUAUCAUCGGUGCCAUUGUCAUAGGAUGCACAAAACACCAUCAUCAUUAAAGACUUUGAGGUUGAUAGUCGCAGUGAAUCAAGAAUCAAGCUAGGGUGACCUUACAUACACACCUUAGAUAAAAACAAUAUU